AUUGAACGCUGGCGGCAUGCUUUACACAUGCAAGUCGAACGGCAGCGCGGGGCAACCUGGCGGCGAGUGGCGAACGGGUGAGUAAUACAUCGGAACGUACCCAGAAGUGGGGGAUAACGUAGCGAAAGUUACGCUAAUACCGCAUACGUUCUACGGAAGAAAGCGGGGGAUCUUCGGACCUCGUGCUUUUGGAGCGGCCGAUGUCUGAUUAGCUAGUUGGUGAGGUAAAGGCUCACCAAGGCGACGAUCAGUAGCUGGUCUGAGAGGACGACCGGCCACACUGGGACUGAGACACGGCCCAGACUCCUACGGGAGGCAGCAGUGGGGAAUUUUGGACAAUGGGCGCAAGCCUGAUCCAGCAAUGCCGCGUGAGUGAAGAAGGCCUUCGGGUUGUAAAGCUCUUUUGUCAGGGAAGAAACGGCUGGGGCUAAUAUCCCCGGCUAAUGACGGUACCUGAAGAAUAAGCACCGGCUAACUACGUGCCAGCCGCCGCCGCUGUAA
rnacentral:rRNA from 1 species